AUCAAAGUUCAUGGCCCAAUUAUGUCACCAGCUGUUAUGAGAGUUGUUGCUGCAUUAAAAGAAAAAAAUCUUGAAUUUGAACUUGUUCCUGUUAAUAUGCAAAAUGGUGAUCACAAAAAGGAACCUUUUAUUACCCUCAAUGUAUGUAUAAUAUAUUUUAAUUAUAUAAUUAUUUUCAUCCUAUUAUAUCUAUUUGAAUAUGUCCUAUUUUUUUUCAUAUUCUUUAUAUUUUCUCUUCAAUAUAUGUAAAAUAUUUGAUCUUUAUCUUAUGCCCUAUGCCCUAUUUGAAUUAAAGUCUCAGCAUAACUGAUAAAGUUGCAUGCAUGCACGUAUCAUACAAUAGAUGUUAGAUGUUUGUGGUUUGGCUUUUUUUAUCUGAAUCAGAAUCUUAGCGUAACUGGUAAAAUUGUAUCCAUGCAUGUAAAAAUAAAUGUUAAAGUUGCCUGUGAUCGAAUUCUUUUUCAGAUUCUAUAUGGGGUCCAUAUAGAUCAUUUUUAACUGUUAUGGAUGAUUUUUUUUUGAUUUACAUAGAUAUUUUUGUUCAGCAAGAGUUUAGUGUAUCGAACAUUUAAAAUAAAAAAAAUGUAUGCAUGUUUUUAUUGGGUUUCAAGUAGAUUCAAUUAAUAACAUACUACUACAAUUUUUAAAUUUUUAUUAUGGUUUGUGGGAGGAAAUAAGAUAUCUGAUUUAUUUGCAAAAUGAACUGGAGAAAAUGAUAUUUUUCAAGUGAUGUCUUUUAUGUUUAAAAAUGAAAUUAGUAAAUAGGAUACAUAUAUAUAUAUAUAUAUAUAUAUAUAUGUAGCCUAAAAAAACCAUAUAGUGUGAAUUAAGUUUCGCGCGGACUCUUCAAUUUUGAUGUCAGUAUAAUAUUUUGGGAGAAUUCAACUCGUAUUUGGUAGAUUUUCGUUUUAAGAGUCCGAGCAACAUAGAAUGUGAAUAUAAUUUUAUUUGAUUAAUUAUUUGCAGCCAUUUGGUCAAGUUCCAGCUUUUGAAGAUGGAGAUCUCAAACUUUUUGGUAAGUCAACUUACUUUUAUUAUACACAGAACAACAACAUACCCAGUGUAUUUUCAUAAAAUGAUGUCGGAGAGAAUAAAGUGUACGUUAUCUUAGAUGAAGUAGAGAGGUUGUUUUCAAUAGAAUCCCGACUUAGAACAUAUAUUAGUAUAACAAACAAAAAAAUAUAUAUAAAAACACACAACAGAAUGAUACAAGAAACAAGACACCAUAGAUUAACGCAAAAUCGCAAACCUUAUCGCUAUGUUUAUGAGGUAGAGGUUGUUUCUGAUAGAUUCUCGGCAUAAAAGUAGCAUAAGAGCUUGCCCAAAUUCAAUUGCGUCGACGUGUGAUCCACUUAAGAUGUGAUCUCGUAAAUGGGGUAUGGGGAAGGUAAAAUGUACGUAAAGUCGCAAACCUUAUCCCUAGCUUUAUGACGUAGAGUUUGUUUCUGAUAGAUCCUCGGCAUACAAGUAGCUUAACAACUUGCCUAAACUCAAUGAAAAUCAUCAAUAUAGUUUGAUUUUCGUCGACGUGUGAUCCACUUAAGAUGUGAUCUCGUAAAUGGGGUAUGGAAAAGGUAGCAUGUACGCAAAGUCGCAAACCUUAUCCCUACCUUUAUAUAAGGUAGAGGUGGAGGUUGUUUCUGAUAGAUCCUCGGAGUACAAGUAGCAUAAGAACUUGCCCAAAUUCAAUUGUGUCGACGUAUGAUCCACUUAAGAUGUGAUCUCGUAAAUGGGGUAUGGAGAAGGUAGAAUGUACGUAAAGUCGCAAACCUUAUCCCUACCCUUAUGACGCAGAGGUUGUUUCUGAUAGAUCCUCAGCACACGCGUAGCUUAGAACUUGAUUCUUUCUUUGGUUUUUAUGAUGUUGAUUGUAUGAAUUAUAUUGCUUAUGCAGAAUCAAGAGCCAUUACACAAUACAUAGCUCACACGUAUGCAGACAAAGGGAACCAACUCUUACCCAAUGACCCAAAGAAAAUGGCAAUAAUGUCUGUAUGGAUGGAAGUUGAAGCCCAGAAAUUCGACCCUGUUGGCUCAAAACUUGCCUAUGAGAUAGCUAUCAAGCCGAUGAUGGGCAAGGUAACGGACGACGCAGUUGUU
rnacentral:lncRNA from 1 species